AUUGAACGCUGGCGGCAGGCCUAACACAUGAAAGUCGAACGAGUGGCGGACGGGUGAGUAAUGUCUGGGAAACUGCCUGAUGGAGGGGGAUAACUACUGGAAACGGUAGCUAAUACCGCAUAACAUAGGAUGUGCCCAGAUGGGAUUCGAUAGUAGGUGGGGUAACGGCUCACCUAGGCGACGAUCCCUAGCUGGUCUGAGAGGAUGACAAGCCCCACUAGAACUGAGACACGGUCCAGACUCCUACGGGAGGCAGCAGUGGGUAAGAUUGCACAAUGGGCGCAAGCCUGAUGCAGCCAUGCCGGGUGUAUGAAGAAGGCCUUCGGGUUGUAAAGUACUUUCAGCGGGGAGGCGUUACCCGCAGAAGAAGCACCGGCUAACUCCGUGCCAGCCGCCGCGGUAAUUC
rnacentral:rRNA from 1 species